CGUCGUUGGGGCGCGGAAUCGGGAACAGAUGGAGAUGGUGGGCGGUGAGCUUCAUUAUUGCUGUGCCGUCGGGCCCCACCCUCGCUGGUUGCGGGCGUGCGGAGCGUUAUCUAACGGAGACGUGACGGCGCGUUACGGUCCCGUAGCUAGCAAGUUACGGGGGGAUCCCACCGUCACCCACUUAAGUGGACGUCCGCUCGCGAUCCGUCUCUCACGCUCUAACGUCGUCUACUUCCCGUCCCGUCUCGUUCGGCCUCCGCCCCGUUCGGAUUCGGACGCCAUAACCCUAACCCUAACGACGACGAGGCCGCCGCCUUCAUGGCCUCCUGCGACGACGACUUCGCUUUGCUAGGAGACGAAGCCCAGUCGCAGCACCAGCCCCAGGCACGGGCCGUCCCCUUCUCCGCCGCCCACCGCUACGUAACCGCCAAGGCGACGCCGAUCUCCCUCCAUCCCCGCGCCCACCACCACCCUGGCGCUGCCUCCUCCUCCGCCCCCUCGGUCAUCGUCAGCCCUGGAAAGAAGGGGGUCGUUGUCGAUGGUGGAGGCGAGAACCAUGAGGGUUAUGGCGAGGCAUUCGGCCAGACGGACGCCUCCAAAUGCUCCUCCGCCUUCCACGAACACCCCUGCUUCGCUGAGGACGCCAAUCCCUUCGCCACCCAGCACGCAGCCGACGACGACGAAGACGACGACGGUGAUGCCGACAACCCCGAGGUCAAGGGAGCUGCCACCUCCGCGUCCCACCACCACCACCUCCAGCACAUCCACCACCAGCAGCAGCCCCAUCACCACUCGCCCAAGCGCAAGGACCGCGACGAUAUCAGCGACGGCGAGUCGCCCUACUGCUACAACAGCAGCAUGGCGGCUAACAAAAAAUCGAGGCCGAUGUCAUCCUCGGGGGACUACCGCAAGGACCGGGAGGAGUGGAGCGACACGGCCAUAGGUUCCCUCCUAGACGCGUACACAGAGAGAUACGAGCAGCUGAACCGGGGCAACCUGCGGGGAAGGGACUGGGAGGACGUAGCCACCAUCGUCAGCGAGCGCUGCAACAAGCAGAAGGUGGGCAAGAGCGUGGAGCAGUGCAAGAACAAGAUCGACAACCUCAAGAAGCGAUACAAGGUCGAGUGCCAAAGGCUCAGCAGUGGCGGCCUCCCAACCAGCCACUGGCCCUGGUUUAAGAAGAUGGAGCAGAUCGUUGGCUCGUCAUCCUCGUUGAAGGCUGCCCCGGACGAUGACAAAUCCGUCACCCUUGGUGGCCCUCCUGCAGUCAUGAGACAGAUCAAAAGACAUCCCAUUGCUCCAUCUGGCCCUCUUAGCACAAAUAUUAACUCAAAGAUGAAGUCAUUAUCAAAUCCACGGUGGAAGAGGGUGAUUUUGAAAAUUAGUGGUAUGGCAUUAGCUGGAGCUGGGCCCCAGAAUGUUGACCCCAAGGUAAUUAUGCUUAUUGCUAAGGAAAUUGCAAUCGCAAGCCGUGCUGGUUUAGAGGUAGCUAUUGUUAUCGGAGGCCGAAAUUUCUUUUGUGGUGACACUUGGAUAGCUGCAACUGGAAUUGAUAGGGCUACAACUUAUCAAAUUGGUAUGAUGGCAUCAUUGAUGAAUGCAAUGAUGCUCCAAGCAUCCUUGGAGAAGAUUGGUGUUGAGGCACGUAUACAAUCUACCUUACUGAUGCAAGAGAUUGCAGAACCGUAUAUAAGGCGGCGAGCUAUCCGUCAUCUUGAAAAAGGAAGAGUUGUUAUAUUUGGUGGAGCUGGUGCUGCAACAGGAAAUCCACUUUUUAGCACCGAUACUGCAGCUGCCUUGAGGGCCUCUGAGAUUCAUGCAGAUGCCGUGCUCAAAGGCACUACUAUGGAUGGUGUCUACAACUGCCAUCCAAGAAACAACGGUGGUAGUGCAUUCGAGCACAUUUCAUUCAGGGAGUUGGUUUCCAGAGGCUUUACCGCAAUGGACAUGACAGCAUUAAAUUUCUGUGAAGAAAACAACAUACCGGUUGUUAUCUUUAAUUUAUUAGAACCAGGCAAUGUCUCAAAGGCACUUUGUGGAGACCAAGUUGGUACCCUUGUAGACCAGUCAGGGAGGAUUAACUGAUUCCCAAUUCCAUCGCAGCCAAAGGUGUCACAAAGCAGAAAUGAUCAUAAAGCCAUCUUUACCUCCUGUUUCCGAGCUAUUACAUUCAUUUUGAGUGACUUCUACCUCAAGCUUGUGUCUCUAUAGGCUGGAAACACCUUGGCAGUGUGAAUACAUCCUUCCUCGUUUGGUCGGCUUGUCGUCGAAACGAAAAAAGCAAAAAAAAUCUAGCUUUGUACCAGUAAAUUUCUGGCCCAGUGUUGUUGUUCAUUGAGCUGUAAAUUAAUUUAAUGGACUGUACAAAAGAUGGCGAGAUCCUUGGACAAAGGAAGUGGCAGUAAGUUCUUCAAGCUAUUUCAUUAAUGGAUGUUCGUUGACUCUCUUACAGUCGCGCUGACUGGAUCUCAAGAACUUUAAGUCAACUGCAUUAAUAGAGGAUGAAGGCGCAUGGCCCCAUGUGGGUCCACCGUCAUCUUCCCGUAGCUGAAUGACGACAUAUCAUCGGCGACAACAGCUUUCUUACCUUCUUCCUUUACCAGCGUGCUAAUAUAAAAAGGAGAAAAAGAUGGUCGAGUGCUUUCCUCCCCUUUUGUUCUCUUCAAGUAAGUUUGCACGAAAUCCUACAUUGUCCCCAUCUUUGUCGAUUAUUAUAAUCAUAUCCCUACUUGCAAGA